CCGGUAGCAAGUUGCGCCCCCACGCCGCUCUCGAUCGUCGGGAUCGUGGCUCUUCUUCCUGGCAAGCUGCCCCGCCGCUUUCGCGCUCGACUGCUCCGUCGUCGAGGAGAGGGAGCGAAUCACGCCCGGCACCACCCAAACAGGACCGCGUCGAUCGGCAGCUGCAAUGGUGCACCUCCUCGCCCGCACAUCGGCGGCGGGGAUGCACCUGGACCUCUCACACCGCCGCGGGAAGGCGAGGGCUUGUUACCAGCGCGGCUUCAGCGUGCCAUGUGUACUUCGCGAAAGCGUCGCCGACGCGACCGCGGUUCCACCGGCGUUGAUCGCUCCACUGCCUAGCGUCCUCGGAGCCUCUCGACUGCGAUACCGCGCCGGAGUGCGAAGCGCGCGUUUCAAAACCCAUCUCUCGAGGCGACGGUCGUGCCCGCUACAGGACACCUCACGGCGAAGAAGCUCGUGCCAACUCUACUCGUCCACUACAGCAGCAGAAGCAGCGCUGUCUGCGGAAUGGCAGCGUUCGCAGGUGGACUCUCCGGCUAGACCGCGCGCAGCCUCUGGUCAUGCGUCGCGAGGCGUCAUCGGCGUCCCAUCAUGAUCGACCCCAAGGUGUUCGUCGCACUGCUCGUGCUCUCCACGGCGUUCAUCGUUGCCGCCAUCGUGGGCGCAGUUUGCUGUCUGUGUCGUGUCCUCAAGAAGGACUCUCGCAGGAGGCUCAAGGACGACUAUGUCAUUGUACUUGACGGAACGGAACCGCCGCCUCCGUAUACUUGGAGGAGUGUCCGCUCGGAUGGACGUCGUCAAUAAAUAGUCUUCUCUUCGCCAUGGGGACUCCCAAAAAAAGCUGGAAGUCUCUGAGAUCAUCGGGAGCUGCUUGCACAUCCAGGUGGCACCGUUUUACCAGCGAAUCGCACCCAGGUUGCUCUCAGCCCACUUUGUCGCAACGGCAUGCAUCGCAAGUCACUGAAGAUGGCCUCCCACAGCUGCACGCUUUCCAAUCGUUCCCACACAAUCGCAGUUCACGGGGCUGUCUGCCCGCAUGUUCAUAAGCAGUAAAACUAUUUGCGACGCAAACAAACUCUCUGCUGU